GAUGAAGAACGUAGCGAAAUGCGAUACUUGGUGUGAAUUGCAGAAUCCCGUGAACCAUCAAGUCUUUGAACGCAAGUUGCGCCCGAAGCCAUUAGGCCGAGGGCACGCCUGCCUGGGCGUCACACGUCGUUGCCCCCCCAUCUACUCCUUCGGGAUUGCGGGGGGCGGAUGAUGGCCUCCCGUGCGCCUCGUCGCGCGGUUGGCAUAAAUGCCAAGUCCUCGGCGACGCACGCCACGACAAUCGGUGGUUGCGAAACCUCGGUUGCCCGUCGUGUGCGGUCGUCGCGCAUCGAGGGCUCGAAAAAAUUGCCGGGCUCCGGCUCGGCUUUCAACGCGACCCCAGGUCAGGCGGGGUUACCCGCUGAAUUUAAGCAUAUCAAUAAGCGGAGGA
rnacentral:misc_RNA from 1 species